CGCCAUAGCUCAGCUGGAUAGAGCAGGAGACUUCUAAGCUCAAGGUCGUAGGUUCGAAUCCUACUGGCGC
rnacentral:tRNA from 2 species